rnacentral:rRNA from 1 species
UACGAGGGGGGCAAGCGUUGUUCGGAAUUAUUGGGCGUAAAGGGUGCGUAGGCGGUCUGAUAAGUCAUCUGUGAAAUCUAUGGGCUCAACCCAUAGUCUGCAGGCGAAACUGUCGGGCUUGAGUAUGGGAGAGGUGAGUGGAAUUCUCGGUGUAGCAGUGAAAUGCGUAGAUAUCGAGAGGAACACCAGUGGCGAAGGCGAGUCUCUGGACAACUCCUGACACUGAGGCACGAAAGCUAGGGGAGCAAACAGG